UACGAAGGGUGCAAACGUUGCUCGGAAUUAUUGGGCGUAAAGCGCACGUAGGCGGCUUUGCAAGUCGGAUGUGAAAGCCCUCGGCUCAACCGAGGAAGUGCAUCCGAAACUGCCGAGCUUGAGUACUUAAGAGGAUCGCGGAAUUCCCGGUGUAGAGGUGAAAUUCGUAGAUAUCGGGAGGAACACCAGUGGCGAAGGCGGCGAUCUGGGAAGAUACUGACGCUGAGGUGCGAAAGCGUGGGGAGCAAACAGGG
rnacentral:rRNA from 1 species